rnacentral:tRNA from 1 species
GGAUUCAUCUUAGUGGUAGAGCACUUGCCUAGUAAGUGUGAAGCCCUGGGUUCAAUCCCCAGCACCCU